CAAUAGCGUAUAUUAAAGUUGUUGCGGUAAAAAAGCUCGUAGUUGGACUUCUGUUGAGAGAUACCGGUCCAUGCAACGCAUGCGUAUUUGGUAAGUCUCGGCAUCCUCUCGAAAAACUUCUUUGCGCUUGAUUGCGUGAAAAGAGUUUCGGGACUUUUACUUUGAGGAAAUUAGAGUGUUCACGGCAGGCCAUCGCCAGGAUACAUUAGCAUGGAAUAACACGAUAGGACUCUGGCCUAUCUUGUUGGUCUGUAGGACCGGAGUAAUGAUUAAGAGGGACAGUCGGGGGCAUUCGUAUUUCAUUGUCAGAGGUGAAAUUCUUGGAUUUAUGAAAGACGAACUACUGCGAAAGCAUUUGCCAAGGAUGUUUUCAUUAA
rnacentral:rRNA from 1 species